UACGAAGGGGGCUAGCGUUGCUCGGAAUCACUGGGCGUAAAGGGCGCGUAGGCGGCCAUUCAAGUCAGGGGUGAAAGCCUGUGGCUCAACCACAGAAUUGCCUUUGAUACUGUUUGGCUAGAGACCGGAAGAGGUAAGUGGAACUGCGAGUGUAGAGGUGAAAUUCGUAGAUAUUCGCAAGAACACCAGUGGCGAAGGCGGCUCACUGGCCCGGUACUGACGCUGAGGUGCGAAAGCGUGGGGAGCAAACAGG
rnacentral:rRNA from 1 species